rnacentral:rRNA from 1 species
AACGAACGCUGGCGGCGUGCUUAACACAUGCAAGUCGAGCGCGAACAGGGGGGCAACCCCCUCAGUAGAGCGGCGCACGGGUGAGUAACACGUGGGUAAUCUACCUUCGGGUUUGGAAUAACCCAGGGAAACUUGGGCUAAUACCGGAUAAGACCACACAUCGUCCUGUUGUGUGGUAAAAGCGGAGGACCCUUUCGAGGGCUUCGCGCCUGUAGAUGAGCCCGCGGCCCAUCAGCUAGUUGGCGGGGUAAUGGCCCACAAAGGCUAAGACGGGUAGAUGGUCUGAGAGGAUGAUCAGCCACACUGGAACUGAGACACGGUCCAGACUCCUACGGGAGGCAGCAGUGGGGAAUUUUGCGCAAUGGGCGAUAGCCUGACGCAGCAACGCCGCGUGAGUGAUGAAGGUCUUCGGAUCGUAAAGCUCUGUCGGCAGGAACGAUGCACUUCAUGGCCAAUAUCCAUGAGGUCUGACGGUACCUGCAAAGGGAGCACCGGCCAACUCUGUGCCAGCAGCCGCUGUAAAAC